rnacentral:rRNA from 1 species
UAAGGAAUAUUGGUCAAUGGACGCAAGUCUGAACCAGCCAUGCCGCGUGGAGGACGAAGGUCCUCUGGAUUGUAAACUUCUUUUAUCUGGGACGAAACACUUCUUUUCUAAGAGGCCUGACGGUACCAGAUGAAUAAGCACCGGCUAACUCCGUGCCAGCAGCCGCGGUAAUACGGAGGGUGCAAGCGUUAUCCGGAUUCACUGGGUUUAAAGGGUGCGUAGGUGGGUAUGUAAGUCAGUGGUGAAAUCCCCGAGCUUAACUUGGGAACUGCCAUUGAUACUAUAUAUCUUGAAUACCGUAGAGGUAAGCGGAAUAUGUCAUGUAGCGGUGAAAUGCUUAGAUAUGACAUGGAACACCAAUUGCGAAGGCAGCUUACUAUGCGGUGAUUGACACUGAGGCACGAAAGCGUGGGUAGCAAACA